GAGUAGGAGAAAAAUGUUUGCUAAUGUUGAUGACCGGAAUCCCCACAUGGUUUUUGGAAAUUCCAUUAGUUGUAAAAGCAAAGAUGGAUUAAUUUGCAGCAAAUUGAUGAUUGAAUGGUAAAAGCUUUUGUGUACUGGGAACAUAUUUGAGCUGUUACAGCCUUACAAGUUCUUGUAGUUCUGCUUAUACAGCCCAAACAAUUGGAACUAAUGGGACUUGCUUUUCUUGGUAUACUUUCGAGGAAAAUGAGC
rnacentral:lncRNA from 1 species